rnacentral:rRNA from 1 species
UGAGUGCGAGCUGCUACGGCAGCGAAGUUGGUGACGUCAUGCUUCCAAGAAAAGCCCUAUACCCGUUAAGGCAUCAUGGCCUGUACCCGAAACCGACACAGGUGGGGUGGUAGAGAAUACCGAGGGGCGCGAGGUAACUCUCUCUAAGGAACUCGGCAAAAUGGCCCCGUAACUUCGGGAGAAGGGGUGCCACCGCAAGGUGGUCGCAGUGAAGAGGCCCAGGCGACUGUUUACCAAAAACACAGGUCUCCGCUAAGUCGCAAGACGAUGUAUGGGGGCUGACGCCUGCCCAGUGCCGGAAGGUUAAGGAAGCUGGUCAGCGCAAGCGAAGCUAGCGACUGAAGCCCCGGUGAACGGCGGCCGUAACUAUAACGGUCCUAAGGUAGCGAAAUUCCUUGUCGGGUAAGUUCCGACCCGCACGAAAGGCGUAACGAUCUGGGCGCUGUCUCGGAGAGAGGCUCGGCGAAAUAGAAUUGUCUGUGAAGAUGCGGACUACGUGCACCCGGACAGAAAGACCCUAUGAAGCUUUACUGUAGCUUGGUAUUGUGCCCGGGCUCGCAAUGCGCAGGAUAGGUGGGAGGCUUUGAUCAUCGGCUUGCGGGUCGAUGUGAGCCAACGGUGAGAUACCACUCUUUGCGAGCUAGGGUUCUAACGGCCACCCGUCAUCCGGGGGCCGGACAGUACCUGGUGGGCAGUUUGACUGGGGCGGUCGCCUCCUAAAAGGUAACGGAGGCGCGCAAAGGUUUGCUCAGGCUGGCUGGAAAUCAGCCGACGAGUGUAAAAGCAGAAGCAAGCUUGACUGUGAGACCAACAAGUCGAACAGGGAGGAAACUCGGCUUUAGUGAUCCGACGGUUCUGAGUGGAAGGGCCGUCGCUCAACGGAUAAAAGUUACUCUAGGGAUAACAGGCUGAUCUCCCCCAAGAGUUCACAUCGACGGGGAGGUUUGGCACCUCGAUGUCGGCUCAUCGCAACCUGGGGCUGAAGUCGGUCCCAAGGGUUGGGCUGUUCGCCCAUUAAAGCGGUACGCGAGCUGGGUUCAGAACGUCGUGAGACAGUUCGGUCCAUAUCCGGUGCACGCGCAGGAAUAUUGAGAGGAUUUCUCCCUAGUACGAGAGGACCGGGAGGAGCGCACCUCUGGUGUACCAGUUAUCGUGCCAACGGUAAACACUGGGUAGCCAUGUGCGGAGUGGAUAACCGCUGAAAGCAUCUAAGUGGGAAGCCCACCUCAAGAUGAGUAUUCCCAUGGCGUAAGCCAGUAAGGUCACGGGAAGAACACCCGUUGAUAGGCUCUAUGUGGAAGCGCAGUAAUGCGUGAAGCAGAGGAGUACUAAUAGACCGAGGGCUUGAUC